rnacentral:rRNA from 1 species
GAGGAAUAUUGGUCAAUGGACGAGAGUCUGAACCAGCCCAAGUAGCGUGAAGGAUGACUGCCCUUAUGGGUUUGUAGACUUCUUUUAUAUGGGAAUAAAGUUUUCCCACGUGUGGAAUUUUGUAUGUACCAUAUGAAUAAGGAUCGGCUAACUCC